rnacentral:rRNA from 1 species
CCUACGGGAGGCAGCAGUGAGGAAUAUUGGUCAAUGGACGAGAGUCUGAACCAGCCAAGUAGCGUGAAGGAUGACUGCCCUAUGGGUUGUAAACUUCUUUUAUAUGGGAAUAAAACGUUCCACGUGUGGGAUUUUGUAUGUACCAUAUGAAUAAGGAUCGGCUAACUCCGUGCCAGCAGCCGCGGUAAUACGGAGGAUCCGAGCGUUAGCCGGAUUUAUUGGGUUUAAAGGGAGCGUAGGUGGAUUGUUAAGUCAGUUGUGAAAGUUUGCGGCUCAACCGUAAAAUUGCAGUUGAAACUGGCAGUCUUGAGUACAGUAGAGGUGGGCGGAAGUCGUGGUGUAGCGGUGAAAUGCUUAGAUAUCACGAAGAACUCCGAUUGCGAAGGCAGUUCACUGGACUGCAACUGACACUGAGGCUCGAAAGUGUGGGUAUCAAACAGGAUUAGAUACCCUUGUAGUC